CUACGGGAUGCUGCAGUGAGGAAUAUUGCACAAUGGGGGGAACCCUGAUGCAGCAACGCCGCGUGGAGGAUGACGCAUUUCGGUGUGUAAACUCCUUUUAUAUGUCAAGAAAAUGACGGUAGCAUAUGAAUAGGCACCGGCUAACUCCGUGCCAGCAGCCGCGGUAAUACGGAGGGUGCAAGCGUUACUCGGAAUCACUGGGCGUAAAGGACGCGUAGGCGGGUUGGAAAGUCAGGUGUGAAAUCCUACAGCUUAACUGUAGAACUGCACUUGAAACUUCUAAUCUAGAGUAUGGGAGGGGGAGAUGGAAUUAGUGGUGUAGGGGUAAAAUCCGUAGAUAUCACUAGGAAUACCUAAAGCGAAGGCGAUCUCCUGGAACAUUACUGACGCUAAGGCGUGAAAGCGUGGGGAGCAAACAGGAUUAGAUACCCGAGUAGUC
rnacentral:rRNA from 1 species